AUUGAACGCUGGCGGCAGGCCUAACACAUGCAAGUCGAACGAGUGGCGGACGGGUGAGUAAUGUCUGGGAAACUGCCUGAUGGAGGGGGAUAACUACUGGAAACGAUAGCCAAUACCGCAUAACAUAGGAUGUGCCCAGAUGGGAUUAGCUAGUGGGUGGGGUAAAGGCACACCACGGCGAAGAUCCCUAGGUGGUCUGAGAGGAUGACCAGCCACACGGGAACUGAGACACGGGCCAGACUCCUACGGGAGGCAGCAGUGGGGAAUAGUGCACAAUGGGCGCAAGCCUGAUGCAGCCAUGCCGCGUGUAUGAAGAAGGCCUUCGGGUUGUAAAGUACUUUCAGCGGGGAGGCGUUACCCGCAGAAGAAGCACCGGCUAACUCCGUGCCAGCAGCCGCGGUAAUAC
rnacentral:rRNA from 1 species